GCCCGGGUGGCUCAGCCGGUCAAGCUUCCGACUUCAGCUCGGGUCAUGAUCUCACAGUCUGUGGGUUCGAGCCCCGCGUCGGGCU
rfam:Felis catus isolate Cinnamon breed Abyssinian chromosome A2, whole genome shotgun sequence.